rnacentral:rRNA from 1 species
UACGGAGGGUGCGAGCGUUGUCCGGAAUCAUUGGGCGUAAAGGGCGCGUAGGUGGCGGCUUAAGCGUGCGGUGAAAGCUCGGGGCUCAACCCCGAGUCGGCCGUGCGAACUGAGUCGCUUGAGCACUGUAGAGGCAGGCGGAAUUCCUGGUGUAGCGGUGAAAUGCGCAGAUAUCAGGAAGAACACCCGUGGCUAAGGCGGCUCUCUAGUACGGUACUGACGCUGAGACGCGAAAGCGUGGGGAGCGAACAGG